GGAUAGCUCAGUCAGUGGAGCAUGAGACUAUUGAUCUCAGGGCUGUGGCUUUGAGCCCCAUGUUGGACA